rnacentral:rRNA from 1 species
GACGAACGCUGGCGGCGUGCUUAACACAUGCAAGUCGAACGGAAAGGCCCUGCUUUUGUGGGGUGCUCGAGUGGCGAACGGGUGAGUAACACGUGAGUAACCUGCCCUUGACUUUGGGAUAACUUCAGGAAACUGGGGCUAAUACCGGAUAGGAGCUCCUGCUGCAUGGUGGGGGUUGGAAAGUUUCGGCGGUUGGGGAUGGACUCGCGGCUUAUCAGCUUGUUGGUGGGGUAGUGGCUUACCAAGGCUUUGACGGGUAGCCGGCCUGAGAGGGUGACCGGCCACAAUGGGACUGAGAUACCGGCCAGGCUCCUACGGGGGGCAGCAGGGGGGAAUAUUGCACAAUGGGCGGAAGCCUGAUGCAGCAACCCCGCGUGCGGGAUGACGGCCUUUGGGUUGUAAACCGCUUUCGCCUGUGACGAAGCGUGAGUGACGGUAAUGGGUAAAGAAGCACCGGCUAACUACGUG